CGGUUCAAGGAGUUGCGAACGGGUGAGUAACGCGUAGGUAACCCUACCUCAUAGCGGGGGAUAACUAUUGGAAACGAUAGCUAAUACCGCAUAAGAGAGACUAACGCAUGUUAGUAAUUUAAAAGGGGCAAUUGCUCCACUAUGAGAUGGACCUGCGUUGUAUUAGCUAGUUGGUGAGGUAAAGGCUCACCAAGGCGACGAUACAUAGCCGACCUGAGAGGGUGAUCGGCCACACUGGGACUGAGACACGGCCCAGACUCCUACGGGAGGCAGCAGUAGGGAAUCUUCGGCAAUGGGGGCAACCCUGACCGAGCAACGCCGCGUGAGUGAAGAAGGUUUUCGGAUCGUAAAGCUCUGUUGUUAGAGAAGAAUGAUGGUGGGAGUGGAAAAUCCACCAAGUGACGGUAACUAACCAGAAAGGGACGGCUAACUACGUGCCAGCAGCCGCGGUAAUACGUAGGUCCCGAGCGUUGUCCGGAUUUAUUGGGCGUAAAGCGAGCGCAGGCGGUUUUUUAAGUCUGAAGUUAAAGGCAUUGGCUCAACCAAUGUACGCUUUGGAA
rnacentral:rRNA from 1 species